rnacentral:lncRNA from 1 species
AAUUAAUAAGAGGUUGAUAAACAUGACAUUAUCAGAGGCUUUAAAUGUGCAUCCAUGAUUUAGUUUGUCUUUUUUGCGCUUAGAGUAAUGUUUCUUCAUAGCACUUCUGUGUUAAUCCUAAAUUCUAAAUAUCCCCCUGUGGGCAUUAGGAGAAGAAAGGUCUACCUGAUUCUAAAGUAUUCUCUAAUACUGAGGAAGAGGACUGGAAUGAUAUCCCUCUGGAGUUUGACAAAAAUCUAACUGAAAUUAAAAUACGGUUAUCAAACCAGCAA